CACGUAGGGUGCGAGCGUUGUCCGGAAUUAUUGGGCGUAAAGAGCUCGUAGGCGGUGUGUCGCGUCGGCCGUGAAAACCUGCAGCUUAACUGUGGGCGUGCGGUCGAUACGGGCAUCACUGGAGUUCGGCAGGGGAGACUGGAAUUCCUGGUGUAGCGGUGAAAUGCGCAGAUAUCAGGAGGAACACCGGUGGCGAAGGCGGGUCUCUGGGCCGAUACUGACGCUGAGGAGCGAAAGCGUGGGGAGCGAAACAGG
rnacentral:rRNA from 1 species